GUGGGGAAUUUUGGACAAUGGGCGCAAGCCUGAUCCAGCCAUUCCGCGUGCAGGAUGAAGACCUUCGGGUUGUAAACUGCUUUUGUACGGAACGAAAAGCCUCUGGUUAAUACCCGGGGGUCAUGACGGUACCGUAAGAAUAAGCACCGGCUAACUACGUGCCAGCAGCCGCGGUAAUACGUAGGGUGCGAGCGUUAAUCGGAAUUACUGGGCGUAAAGCGUGCGCAGGCGGUGAUGUAAGACAGUUGUGAAAUCCCCGGGCUCAACCUGGGAACUGCAUCUGUGACUGCAUUGCUGGAGUGCGGCAGAGGGGGAUGGAAUUCCGCGUGUAGCAGUGAAAUGCGUAGAUAUGCGGAGGAACACCGAUGGCGAAGGCAAUCCCCUGGGCCUGCACUGACGCUCAUGCACGAAAGCGUGGGGAGCAAACAGGAUUAGAUACCCUGGUAGUCC
rnacentral:rRNA from 1 species